AGAGUUCGAUUCUGGCUCAGGACGAACGCUGGCGGCGUGCUUAACACAUGCAAGUCGAACGAGAAUCUAUGGAAAGAGGAUUCGUCCAAUUGAAAUAGAGGACAGUGGCGGACGGGUGAGUAACGCGUGAGGAACCUGCCUUUCAGAGGGGGACAACAGUUGGAAACGACUGCUAAUACCGCAUAACGCGUAGAGGUCGCAUGGCCUUUACGCCAAAGAUUUAUCGCUGAAAGAUGGCCUCGCGUCUGAUUAGCUAGUUGGUGAGGUAACGGCCCACCAAGGCGACGAUCAGUAGCCGGACUGAGAGGUUGAACGGCCACAUUGGGACUGAGAUACGGCCCAG
rnacentral:rRNA from 1 species